GACGAACGCUGGCGGCGUGCCUAAUACAUGCAAGUCGAACGAGAGCGACCGGUGCUUGCACUGGUCAAUCUAGUGGCGAACGGGUGAGUAACACGUGGGUAACCUGCUCAUCAGAGGGGGAUAACAUCCGGAAACGGAUGCUAAAGCCGCAUAGGUCUUCGAGCCGCAUGGCUUGAAGAGGAAAAGAGGCGCAAGCUUCUGCUGAUGGAUGGACCCGCGGUGCAUUAGCUAGUUGGUGAGGUAACGGCUCACCAAGGCCGUGAUGCAUAGCCGACCUGAGAGGGUGAUCGGCCACAUUGGGACUGAGACACGGCCCAAACUCCUACGGGAGGCAGCAGUAGGGAAUCUUCCGCAAUGGACGCAAGUCUGACGGAGCAACGCCGCGUGAGUGAAGAAGGUUUUCGGAUCGUAAAACUCUGUUGUUAGAGAAGAACAAGUGCUAGAGUAACUGUUAGCGCCUUGACGGUAUCUAACCAGAAAGCCACGGCUAACUACGUG
rnacentral:rRNA from 1 species